GGGCGUAUAGUUCAGUGGUAGAACAUAAGAGUUUAGGAGAUCUGGCUGUGUGUAUACCAAUGCUAGCAAAGGUAAACAGAAACUGAAUGAUUCGCUCUGUAUGUCAUGGGUUCGAUUCCCAUUGCGCCAUU
rnacentral:tRNA from 1 species